CGUAACACGUAUGUAACCUACCUUUAUCAGGGGGAUAGCCUCUCGAAAGAGAGAUUAAGCCCGCAUAAUAUGAAGACACAGCAUUGUGAUUUCAUCAAAUAUUUAUAGGGUAAAGAUGGGCAUGCGGAACAUUAGCUAGUUGGUAAGGUAAUGGCUUACCAAGGCUACGAUGUUUAGGGGAUCUGAGAGGAUGGCCCCCCACACUGGUACUGAGACACGGACCAG
rnacentral:rRNA from 1 species